CCACCACGGAAAUUCGGCAUGGUGUGUUUAGACACUCAGGGUCAAUUUAUACUAGCGCAGAGUCGAAGCGCAUCUAAGCGAAUUACCAAAACUGAACAUUACAAAUUCAACCUCUCUAGAACG